AUUGAACGCUGGCGGCAGGCCUAACACAUGCAAGUCGAGCGGAUGAAGGGAGCUUGCUCCUGGAUUCAGCGGCGGACGGAUGAGUAAUGCCUAGGAAUCUGCCUGGUAGUGGGGGAUAACGUCCGGAAACGGGCGCUAAUACCGCAUACGUCCUGAGGGAGAAAGUGGGGGAUCUUCGGACAUCACGCUAUCAGAUGAGCCUAGGUCGGAUUAGCUAGUUGGUGGGGUAAAGGCCUACCAAGGCGACGAUCCGUAACUGGUCUGAGAGGAUGAUCAGUCACACUGGAACUGAGACACGGUCCAGACUCCUACGGGAGGCAGCAGUGGGGAAUAUUGGACAAUGGGCGAAAGCCUGAUCCAGCCAUGCCGCGUGUGUGAAGAAGGUCUUCGGAUUGUAAAGCACUUUAAGUUGGGAGGAAGGGCAGUAAGUUAAUACCUUGCUGUUUUGACGUUACCAACAGAAUAAGCACCGGCUAACUUCGUG
rnacentral:rRNA from 1 species